CAUCGCUUGACGGAGCGCGAGUAAGUCCUCGCUGAGAUCGGGUCAGUUCCUCCUUUAGAUGAACUUAAGCCCGAGUACCGUUGAACCUGAUCAGGUUAAGACCUGCGUAGGAAUCAAGCCAUCUAAAAAC
rnacentral:ncRNA from 2 species